rnacentral:rRNA from 1 species
GAUGAACGCUGGCGGCGUGCCUAAUACAUGCCAGUCGAGCGAACAGACGAGGAGCUUGCUCCUCUGACGUUAGCGGCGGACGGGUGAGUAACACGUGGAUAACCUACCUAUAAGACUGGGAUAACUUCGGGAAACCGGAGCUAAUACCGGAUAAUAUAUUGAACCGCAUGGUUCAAUAGUGAAAGACGGUUUUGCUGUCACUUAUAGAUGGAUCCGCGCCGCAUUAGCUAGUUGGUAAGGUAACGGCUUACCAAGGCGACGAUGCGUAGCCGACCUGAGAGGGUGAUCGGCCACACUGGAACUGAGACACGGUCCAGACUCCUACGGGAGGCAGCAGUAGGGAAUCUUCCGCAAUGGGCGAAAGCCUGACGGAGCAACGCCGCGUGAGUGAUGAAGGUCUUCGGAUCGUAAAACUCUGUUAUUAGGGAAGAACAAAUGUGUAAGUAACUAUGCACGCCUUGACGGUACCUAAUCAGAAAGCCACGGCUAACUACGUG